rnacentral:rRNA from 1 species
AUUGAAUGCUGGCGGCAUGCUUUACACAUGCAAGUCGAACGGCAGCGCGGGCUUCGGCCUGGCGGCGAGUGGCGAACGGGUGAGUAAUGCAUCGGAACGUGCCCAGUAGUGGGGGAUAGCCCGGCGAAAGCCGGAUUAAUACCGCAUACGACCUGAGGGUGAAAGCGGGGGACCGAAAGGCCUCGCGCUAUUGGAGCGGCCGAUGUCGGAUUAGCUAGUUGGUGGGGUAAAGGCUUACCAAGGCGACGAUCCGUAGCUGGUCUGAGAGGACGACCAGCCACACUGGGACUGAGACACGGCCCAGACUCCUACGGGAGGCAGCAGUGGGGAAUUUUGGACAAAGGGGGCAACCCUGAUCCAGCCAUGCCGCGUGCGGGAAGAAGGCCUUCGGGUUGUAAACCGCUUUUGUUCGGGAAGAAAUCCUCUGGGCUAAUACCCCGGGGGGAUGACGGUACCGGAAGAAUAAGCACCGGCUAACUACGUG